rnacentral:rRNA from 1 species
GCAGAGCAUCCUACGGGAGGCAGCAGUGGGGAAUAUUGCACAAUGGGCGCAAGCCUGAUGCAGCCAUGCCGCGUGUAUGAAGAAGGCCUUCGGGUUGUAAAGUACUUUCAGCAGUGAGGAAGUGGGUAUGUUAAUAGCAUAUUCAUUUGACGUUAGCUGCAGAAGAAGCACCGGCUAACUCCGUGCCAGCAGCCGCGGUAAUACGGAGGGUGCGAGCGUUAAUCGGAAUUACUGGGCGUAAAGCGCAUGCAGGUGGUUUGUUAAGUCAGAUGUGAAAGCCCGGGGCUCAACCUCGGAAUUGCAUUUGAAACUGGCAAACUAAAGUACUGUAGAGGGGGUAGAAUUUCAGGUGUAGCGGUGAAAUGCGUAGAGAUCUGAAGGAAUACCGGUGGCGAAGGCGGCCCCCUGGACAGAUACUGACACUCAGAUGCGAAAGCGUGGGGAGCAAACAGGAUUAGAUACCCUGGUAG